AGCGAACAGGAUUAGAUACCCUGGUAGUCCACGCCGUAAACGAUGUUCACUGGCUGUAUGCGAUAUAUAGUAUUCGGUUGAGCGAAAGCAUUAAGUGAACCACCUGGGGAGUACGUUGGCAACAAUGAAACUCAAAGGAAUUGACGGGGGCCCGCACAAGCGGAGGAACAUGUGGUUUAAUUCGAUGAUACGCGAGGAACCUUACCUGGGCUUAGAUGUAUGGUGCAUGGAUUGGAAACAAUCCUUUCCUACGGGACUCUUUACAAGGUGCUGCGUGGCUGUCGUCAGCUCGUGCCGUGAGGUGUCGGGUUAAGUCCCAUAACGAGCGCAACCCCUAUUGCUAGUUACCAACGCGUUAAGGCGGGGACUCUAGUGAGACUGCCACCGUAAGGUGUGAGGAAGGUGGGGAUGACGUCAAGUCAGCACGGCCCUUACGUCCAGGGCUACACACGUGUUACAAUGGCCGGUACAAAGGGCAGCUACUAUGUGAAUAGGUGCUAAUCUCUAAAGCCGGUCUCAGUUCGGAUCGAAGUCUGCAACCCGACUUCGUGAAGCUGGAUUCGCUAGUAAUCGCGCAUCAGCCAUGGCGCGGUGAAUACGUUCCCGGGCCUUGUACACACCGCCCGUCAAGCCAUGGAAGCUGGGGGUACCUGAAGUCCGUAACCGUAAGGA
rnacentral:rRNA from 1 species